rnacentral:rRNA from 1 species
UACAGAGGUCUCAAGCGUUGUUCGGAUUCAUUGGGCGUAAAGGGUGCGUAGGCGGUGGGGUAAGUCUGGUGUGAAAUCUCGGAGCUCAACUCCGAAAUUGCACUGGAUACUGCUCUGCUAGAGGGCUGGAGAGGAGAUCGGAAUUCACGGUGUAGCAGUGAAAUGCGUAGAUAUCGUGAGGAAGACCAGUGGCGAAGGCGGAUCUCUGGACAGCUCCUGACGCUGAGGCGCGAAGGCUAGGGGAGCAAACGGG